rnacentral:rRNA from 1 species
UAACACAUGCAAGUCGAGGGGCAGCAUGAUUUGUAGCAAUACAGAUUGAUGGCGACCCGGCGCACGGGUGAGUAACGCGUAUGCAACUUACCUAUCAGAGGGGGAUAGCCCGGCGAAAGUCGGAUUAAUACCUCAUAAAACAGGGGUCCCGCAUGGGAAUAUUUGUUAAAGAUUCAUCGCUGAUAGAUAGGCAUGCGUUCCAUUAGGCAGUUGGCGGGGUAACGGCCCACCAAACCGACGAUGGAUAGGGGUUCUGAGAGGAAGGUCCCCCACAUUGGUACUGAGACACGGGCCAAACUCCUACGGGAGGCAGCAGUGAGGAAUAUUGGUCAAUGGCCGAGAGGCUGAACCAGCCAAGUCGCGUGAAGGAAGAAGGAUCUAUGGUUUGUAAACUUCUUUUAUAGGGGAAUAAAGUGGAGGACGUGUCCUUUUUUGUAUGUACCCUAUGAAUAAGCAUCGGCUAACUCCGUGCCAGCAGCCGCGGUAAUACGGAGGAUGCGAGCGUUAUCCGGAUUUAUUGGGUUUAAAGGGUGCGUAGGUGGUGAUUUAAGUCAGCGGUGAAAGUUUGUGGCUCAACCAUAAAAUUGCCGUUGAAACUGGGUUACUUGAGUGUGUUUGAGGUAGGCGGAUGCGUGGUGUAGCGGUGAAUGCAUAGAUAUCACGCAGAACUCCGAUUGCGAAGGCAGCUUACUAAACCAUAACUGACACU